GACAGAGGGUGCAAACGUUGCUCGGAAUUACUGGGCGUAAAGCGCGUGUAGGUGGAUUGGUGUGUCAGAUGUGAAAUCCCUGGGCUCAACCCAGGAACUGCACCUGAAACUACCAGUCUUGAGUGAUGGAGAGGGAAGUGGAAUUCCUGGUGUAGAGGUGAAAUUCGUAGAUAUCAGGGGGAACACCAGUGGCGAAGGCGGCUUCCUGGACAUCAACUGACGCUGAGACGCGAAAGCGUGGGGAGCAAACAGG
rnacentral:rRNA from 1 species